rnacentral:rRNA from 1 species
CCUUUUUCCCUACGGGGAGGCCCACCAUUUGGGAAAUCUUCCGAAAGUGAAAGAAAGUUUGGAAAGGAGCCAACGCCGGGUGAGGUGAUGAAGGUUUUUCCGAAUCGUAAAGCUUCUGUUGUUAGGGAAAGAAACAAGUGCGAGAGUUAUCUGCUUCGCACCGUGGACGGUACCUAACCAGAAAGGCCACGGCUAAGUACGUGCCAGCAGCCGCGGUUAAUACGUAGGUGGCAAGCGUUGUCCGGAAUUUAUUGAGCGUAAAGGGCUCGCAGGCGGUAUAUUAAGUCUGAUGUGAAAGCCCCCGGCUCAACCGGGGAGGGUCAUUGGAAACUGAGAAACUUGAGUGCAGAAGAGGAGAGUGGACUUCCACGUGUAGCGGUGAAAUGCGUAGAGAUGUGGAGGAACACCAGUGGCGAAGGUGACUCUCUGGUCUGUAACUGACGCUGAGGAGCGAAAGCGUGGCGAGCGAACAGGAUUAGAUACCGUGGUAGUCCACGCCGUAAACGAUGAGUGCUAAGUGUUAGGGGGUCUCCGCCCCUUAGUGCUGCAGCUAACGCAUUAAGCACUCCGCCUGGGGAGUACGGUCGCAAGACUGAAACUCAAAGGAAUUGACGGGGGCCCGCACAAGCGGUGGAGCAUGUGGUUUAAUUCGAAGCAACGCGAAGAACCUUACCAGGUCUUGACAUCCUCUGACAACCCUAGAGAUAGGGCUUUCCCUUCGGGGACAGAGUGACAGGUGGUGCAUGGUUGUCGUCAGCUCGUGUCGUGAGAUGUUGGGUUAAGUCCCGCAACGAGCGCAACCCUUGAUCUUAGUUGCCAGCAUUCAGUUGGGCACUCUAAGGUGACUGCCGGUGACAAACCGGAGGAAGGUGGGGAUGACGUCAAAUCAUCAUGCCCCUUAUGACCUGGGCUACACACGUGCUACAAUGGACAGAACAAAGGGCUGCAAGACCGCAAGGUUUAGCCAAUCCCAUAAAUCUGUUCUCAGUUCGGAUCGCAGUCUGCAACUCGACUGCGUGAAGCUGGAAUCGCUAGUAAUCGCGGAUCAGCAUGCCGCGGUGAAUACGUUCCCGGGCCUUGUACACACCGCCCGUCACACCACGAGAGUUUGCAACACCCGAAGUCGGUUGUGGGUAUACCUCUAUGGAGCACAGCGGCCGAAGUGAGCAAGAGACCG